rnacentral:rRNA from 1 species
GACGAACGCUGGCGGCGUGCUUAACACAUGCAAGUCGAACGGAAAGGCCCUGCUUUUGUGGGGUGCUCGAGUGGCGAACGGGUGAGUAACACGUGAGUAACCUGCCCUUGACUUUGGGAUAACUUAAGGAAACUGGGGCUAAUACCGGAUAGGAGCUCCUGCUGCAUGGUGGGGGUUGGAACGUUUCGGCGGUUGGGGAUGGACUCGCGGCUUAUCAGCUUGUUGGUGGGGUAGUGGCUUACCAAGGCUUUGACGGGUAGCCGGCCUGGGAGGGUGACCGGCCACAUUGGGACGGAGAUACGGCCCAGACUCCUACGGGAGGCAACAGUGGGGAAUAGUACACAAUGGGCGGAAGCCUGAUGCAGCAACGCCGCGUGGGGGAUGACGGCCAUCGGGUUGUAAACCGCUUUCGCCUGUGACGAAGCGUGAGUGACGGUAAUGGGUAAAGAAGCACCGGCUAACUACGUG